rnacentral:rRNA from 1 species
UGGCCGCGGUAUUUUGACCGUGCGAAGGUAGCAUAAUCAAUAGUCUAUUAAAUGUGGUCUGGAAUGAAAGGUUUGACGGGGGAUAGCUUUUUUGAUUUUAUUUUUGAAUUUUAAUUAUUAGUGAAAAUGCUAAUAUGUUUUAGGGGGACGAGAAGACCCUAUAGAGCUUUAUAUAUGCCAGAUUGUGGUGGGAAUAAUAAUCUGUAUUUAUAUUUUGUUGGGGCGACAAUAAAUAGAAUCAUUUAUUUUUAGGUUUAUUAUUACAGGUUUGGUUGAUCCAUUAUUUAUGAUUAUUAGACUAAGUUACCUUAGGGAUAACAGCGUAAUUUUAUUUUAGAGUUCAUAUCGACGAUGAAGUUUGCGACCUCGAUGUUGGAUUAAGAUUCUUUUAAGGUGCAGCUAUCUUAAGGAGUAGUCUGUUCGACUAUUUAAUUCUUACA